GACGAACGCUGGCGGCGUGCUUAACACAUGCAAGUCGAGCGGUAAGGCCCUUUCGGGGUACGACGAGCGGCGAACGGGUGAGUAACACGUGGGUGACCUGCCCUCAGCUCUGGGAUAAGCCUGGGAAACCGGGUCUAAUACUGGAUAUGACUCCAUGACGCAUGUUGUGGGGUGGAAAGCCUUGUGCGGCUGAGGAUGGGCCCGCGGCCUAUCAGCUUGUUGGUGGGGUGAGGCCUACCAAGGCGACGACGGGUAGCCGGCCUGAGAGGGCGACCGGCCACACUGGGACUGAGACACGGCCCAGACUCCUACGGGAGGCAGCAGUGGGGAAUCUUGCGCAAUGGGCGAAAGCCUGACGCAGCGACGCCGCGUGAGGGAUGACGGCCUGGU
rnacentral:rRNA from 1 species